rnacentral:lncRNA from 1 species
CUCAUUUCAACCUUUCAUUGCGACGAACGUCCUUCCGUCCAACAUCCGUCAUUUCCUCCGUUAAUUAAGAAAAAGAUGUCAAUUUCUUUACAGUCUACAGGGGUAAAACCGUAAUUAAGAAAAAGAUGACUUCAACCUUGGUUAUUUUGAGCAGUAGCAAAAUUCUUCAGUUUACUGGAUGAGUUUCAUGAAGCUUCUAGCUGCCAUUUCAUAGAAAAACUUCCAAAAAAGAAACCCACAGAUGAAUUGUUUGUUGGGAUUUAG